rnacentral:rRNA from 1 species
CACGUAGGGGGCGAGCGUUGUCCGGAAUUACUAGGCGUAAAGGGAGCGCAGGCGGUUUCUUAAGUCUGAUGUGAAAGCCCACGGCUCAACCGUGGAGGGUCAUUGGAAACUGGGGAACUUGAGUGCAGAAGAGGAAAGUGGAAUUCCAAGUGUAGCGGUGGAAUGCGUAGAUAUUUGGAGGAACACCAGUGGCGAAGGCGACUUUCUGGUCUGUAACUGACACUGAGGCUCGAAAGCGUGGGGAGCGAACAGGAUUAGAUACCCUGGUAGUCCCUGA